UGUGGGAGCGAGCCUGCUCGCGAUGGCGGUGUAUCAGUCAACAUCGAUGUCGACUGAUACACCGCCAUCGCGAGCAGGCUCGCUCCCACA
rnacentral:misc_RNA from 1 species